GUGCUUGCACCUGCCGGCGAGUGGCGAACGGGUGAGUAAUGCAUCGGAACGUACCCAGUCGUGGGGGAUAACGCAGCGAAAGCUGUGCUAAUACCGCAUACGUCCUGAGGGAGAAAGCAGGGGAUCUUAGGACCUUGUGCGAUUGGAGCGGCCGAUGUCAGAUUAGCUAGUUGGUGAGGUAAAAGCUCACCAAGGCGACGAUCUGUAGCUGGUCUGAGAGGAUGAUCAGCCACACUGGAACUGAGACACGGUCCAGACUCCUACGGGAGGCAGCAGUGGGGAAUUUUGGACAAUGGGGGCAACCCUGAUCCAGCCAUGCCGCGUGAGUGAAGAAGGCCUUCGGGUUGUAAAGCUCUUUCGGCCGGGAAGAAAUCGCCAUCUCUAACAUAGGUGGUGGAUGACGGUACCGGAAUAAGAAGCACCGGCUAACUACGUGCCAGCAGCCGCGGUAAUACGUAGGGUGCGAGCGUUAAUC
rnacentral:rRNA from 1 species